GACGAACGCUGGCGGCGUGCUUAACACAUGCAAGUCGAACGGAAAGGCCCUGCUUUUGUGGGGUGCUCGAGUGGCGAACGGGUGAGUAACACGUGAGUAACCUGCCCUUGACUUUGGGAUAACUUCAGGAAACUGGGGCUAAUACCGGAUAGGAGCUCCUGCUGCAUGGUGGGGGUUGGAAAGUUUCGGCGGUUGGGGAUGGACUCGCGGCUUAUCAGCUUGUUGGUGGGGUAGUGGCUUACCAAGGCUUUGACGGGUAGCCGGCCUGAGAGGGUGACCGGCCACAUUGGGACUGAGAUACGGCCCAGACUCCUACGGGAGGCAGCAGUGGGGAAUAUUGCACAAUGGGCGGAAGCCUGAUGCAGCAACGCCGCGUGCGGGAUGACGGCCUUCGGGUUGUAAACCGCUUCCGCCUGUGACGAAGUGUGAGUGACGGUAAUGGGUAAAGAAGCACCGGCUAACUACGUG
rnacentral:rRNA from 1 species